UACGUAGGUGACAAGCGUUGUCCGGAUUUACUGGGCGUAAAGAGCGCGCAGGCGGUCGUUCAAGUCGAGUGUGAAAGCCCCCGGCUCAACUGGGGAGGGUCACUUGAUACUGAUCGACUCGAAGGCAGGAGAGGGAAGCGGAAUUCCCGGUGUAGUGGUGAAAUGCGUAGAUAUCGGGAGGAACACCAGUGGCGAAGGCGGCUCACUGGCUCGAUACUGACGCUGAGGUGCGAAAGCGUGGGGAGCAAACAGG
rnacentral:rRNA from 1 species